GAUGAACGCUGGCGGCGUGCCUAAUACAUGCAAGUCGAGCGAACUAAUUAGAAGCUUGCUUCUAUGACGUUAGCGGCGGACGGGUGGGUAACACGUGGGCAACCUGCCUGUAAGACUGGGAUAACUUCGGGAAACCGAAGCUAAUACCGGAUAGGAUCUUCUCCUUCAUGGGAGAUGAUUGAAAAAUGGUUUCGGCUAUCACUUACAGAUGGGCCCGCGGUGCAUUAGCUAGUUGGUGAGGUAACGGCUCACCAAGGCAACGAUGCAUAGCCGACCUGAGAGGGUGAGCGGCCACACUGGGACUGAGACACGGCCCAGACUCCUACGGGAGGCAGCAGUAGGGAAUCUUCCGCAAUCGACGAAAGUCUGACGGAGCAACGCCGCGUGAGUGAUGAAGGCUUUCGGGUCGUAAAACUCUGUUGUUAGGGAAGAACAAGUACAAGAGUAACUGCUUGUACCUUGACGGUACCUAAUCAGAAAGCCACGGCUAACUACGUGCCAGCCGCCGCAGUAACAC
rnacentral:rRNA from 1 species